UGAGGAUUGAACAAGGCUUCUCAUUUACGCUAAACACACUCUCUCUCCUCUCAAAACCCUAAAUCGAACUCUCUCUCUUUUCUUCUCUGGCGAACACGGCGAUUCAUCUUCUGACCAACCCUAAUCGGCGAUGUCUGGUGUGAGUAUGUCUGGUGCGAGUAUUGGUUUUCAGCGUAUAAGGGAAGUUUCGUUGUCUCUCUCUCUCAAUACAGAACCUUACACAGUACUCCUCAUUCUAACCCUAAUAUUCCCCCCUUCUCUCUCUCUCUCUUUCUGUGGCGAACACGGCGACGAAGAUGAACGUGCCCUCAGUUCUUAUUUUUGAUAAAGAUUCAUUCUUUUUGGAAUUGUUGUUCGAUGGAUCCUAUGUUUGUUUGAUUAAAUCGAUAAUCCCUAAAUCUCUGUCGGAAAUUUUAAUCUGAGGUAUAUCGGUUUAAUAAUCUUGAUUAUCUUGAUCCACAUUUGAACCGAAUGAAACGUGAAUAUUGUUUGUAAUUCUAGUUUAAUUUGGGGUUUAGAAAAUGCAAUCUGAUCUGGGCAAGUUGUUUAUUUGUGGGAUAUCAUGGGACACAAAUGAAGAGCGUCUAGAAGAGUAUUUCAGUAGCUAUGGCCAGGUUUUGGAGGUUGUGAUCAAGAAGGAUCACACCACUGGCUGGGCUCGCGUUAAAUGCAGUUUAAAAAAGAAAAUGGGCAUUACAAGUUAUUAGAUCAGGUUUAACUUUUGCUCUGGUUCCGAAUACGCAGAUUUUAAGAUGUGAGAGGAUCUAAAAGGUUAUUGAAAGCUUUAAUCGGAAAUUUGUGUUUGGUUGUGGUUGGUUUAAAUGGACGGUUGUUACACGGAGGCUGUGAUGAGUUGUCAAAAUAAAGCCAAUAUGUCGCCAUGGCGUGGCAGAUAUGGAGGAUGGCAGGUUAGCACCUACAACCCCUAUUGCAGCCUUGGUGGCUUCUGGCUUGGUCCUUUCAUUUUCUCUUAACCUGAUGAAUCUGUUGACUGUUGCCUUUGCUAUUUGAGUUGGCGAUGAUGAUCUUGGUCAGAUCAUUGCUUGACGUGGCAUCAUAGAGGAUGGCAGGUGCAUUUUUCUCUGCUUGCAACCUAUGGUGCAGCCAUGAUAGCUUGAGACCUUUGUCUGAGCCUUACCGUGCUGGUUUCGAGAUGAUUAAACAAUAUUGUAGAUUUGUAGUCGAUUUAUUAGCUAAAACAUCACGCUUUUCGGUUCAUGUUUAGCAUGUUUUUCAUGUCGUUGAUUAGUAUCGGAACAAACUAUCCUAGGAAAAUGUUGCCGAUCGUAUCCAACAAACCCAAAUAUACUAAAUCUACAUUUUGUUAUCAUUGUUAUUAUCAUUAUAAUUAUUGAUAUCACUGAAUAAAGUAUGUUAUGUGUUUUAGUCACUUGGACCCAGAGGUUGCAGUUUCAACCGCAAAUGGUUCUAACGAAUGAAGCUUUUUUGUUUUUGUGUGAAAGAAUGACUUUUUAAUUCUUACAGUCCUACUAACACCAGCAACUUUCAUGCAAUGCUACUGUUGGUAUGGAUAUUAAUAUCACAGGUCGUAUACUUUACAUACACUUUUAUUUUUUUAACUAAUCUAUAUGAAAUUAUGUUGAUUUGAGUUGAUUAUGUAUUGAUAAUGGCUCAAAUGUGUAUUUUGAGAUUUGGGGCAGAGGAAUUGUUUAAGCAAGAUAAGAUAGAUGAAGAAAACAAAAGGUGUCUUCUAAGCAGCAUGGAUAUUGAUGAAUUUUUUGAAAGACCAGAGAAGGUUGAACAGAAUGGGGGGAUAUGUGAAGAAGGAAAUGAAUUGUUGAGUGCAC